rnacentral:rRNA from 1 species
GCCGCGUGUGUGAAGAAGGCCUGCGGGUUGUAAAGCACUUUUGGCAGGGAUGAAAAGCACUGGGUUAAUAACCCAGUGUGUUGACCUAACCUGCAGAAGAAGCACCGGCUAACUCUGUGCCUGCAGCCGCGGUAAUACAGAGGGUGCAAGCGUUAAUCGGAAUUACUGGGCGUAAAGCGCGCGUAGGCCGUUGAGUAAGUCGGAUGUGAAAUCCCCGGGCUUAACCUGGGAAUUGCAUUCGAUACUGCUUGGCUAGAGUGUGGAAGAGGGAAGCGGAAUUUCCGGUGUAGCGGUGAAAUGCGUAGAUAUCGGAAGGAACACCAGUGGCGAAGGCGGCUUCCUGGUCCAACACUGACGCUGAGGCGCGAAAGCGUGGGGAGCGAACAGGAUUAGAUACCCUGGUAGUCCACGCUGUAAACGAUGAGAACUAGAUGUUGGGGGGUAUAACCCCUCAGUGUCGCAGCUAACGCGUUAAGUUCUCCGCCUGGGGAGUACGGCCGCAAGGUUG